rnacentral:rRNA from 1 species
AUUGAACGCUGGCGGCAGGCCUAACACAUGCAAGUCGAGCGAGCGGCGGACGGGUGAGUAAGGUCUGGGAAACUGCCUGAUGGAGGGGGGUAACUGAUGGAGACGGUAGCUAAUACUGCCUACCCUCAGAUGUGCCUAGAUGGCAUUGGCUAGUGGGUGGGGUAAUGGCUCACCUAGGAGACGGUCCCUAGCUGGUCUGAGAGGAUGAACCUCCACACUCGAACUGAUGCACGGUCCAGACUCUGACGGUAGGCAGCAGUGGGGAAUCUUUCACAAUGGGCUCAAUCCUGAUGCAGCCAUGGCUCGUGUAUGAAGAAGGCCUUCGGGUUGUAAAGUACUUUCAGCGGGGCCGCCUUACCCGCAGAAGAAGCACCGGCUAACUCCGUGCCAGCAGCCGCGGUAAUAC